GGGGCUAUAGCUCAGCUGGGAGAGCGCUUGCAUGGCAUGCAAGAGGUCAGCGGUUCGCUCCCGCUUAGCUCCUCCU
rnacentral:tRNA from 1 species